rnacentral:rRNA from 1 species
UGGGGGAUAUUGCACAAUGGGCGAAAGCCUGAUGCAGCGACGCCGCGUGGGGGAUGAAGGCCUUCGGGUUGUAAACUUCUUUUGCUCUGAACAAGGCAUGCUAAUGGGUGUGUUGAGUGUAGGGGUUGAUUAGCGCCGGCUAACUACGUGCCAGCAGCCGCGGUAAUACGUAGGGCGCGAGCGUUGUCCGGAAUUAUUGGGCGUAAAGGGCUUGUAGGUGGCUGGUUGCGUCUGUCGUGAAAGCUCAUGGCUUAACUGUGGGUUUGCGGUGGGUACGGGCUGGCUUGAGUGCAGUAGGGGAGGCUGGAAUUCCUGGUGUAGCGGUGGAAUGCGCAGAUAUCAGGAGGAAUACCGGUGGCGAAGGCGGGUCUCUGGGCUGUUACUGACACGGAGGAGCGAAAGCAUGGGGAGCGAACAGG